AUGCCGAAGCUGCGGAAGGAGCAACGAUCCCUCUCGUGGGGAAACCCUGGAGCAGGACGCGGAGGGGCUGGGCUGUGCCCGGGGCUGCGGGCGGCCGUGCAGCUGAGCGAGUCCGGAGGGGGCCUCCAGCCGCCCGGCGGCAGCCUCCGCCUCGCCUGCAAGGGAAGCGGCUUCACCUUCAGCAGCUUCGGCAUGGGUUGGAUCCGGCAGGCGCCCGGGAAGGGGCUCGAGCCUGUCGCAGUUAUUGGCAGCGAUGGUAGCGAUACAAACUACGCAUCUGCGGUGAAAGGUCGCUUCACCGCCUCCAGGGACAACGCCCAGAGCACGCUCUACCUGCAGAUGAGCAGCCUCAAGCCCGACGACACCGGCACCUACUACUGCGCGAAACAAGCUGGUGGUUAUUAUGGUGGUGGAGACCCUGUUUGUGGCCAGGGCCCUGAUGGGAAGCACCCACGAGUGCUGAUGGCCGUGACCUGUCCAAGAUGA